rnacentral:rRNA from 1 species
CGGUCCUAAGGUAGCGAAAUUCCUUGUCGGGUAAGUUCCGACCCGCACGAAAGGCGUAACGAUUUGGGCACUGUCUCAACAACAGACUCGGUGAAAUUGUAAUUCCGGUGACGAUGCCGGAUACCUGCGACAGGACGGAAAGACCCCAUGGAGCUUUACUGUAGCUUGACAUUGGGUCUUGGUACUACAUGUACAGGAUAGGUGGGAGGCUUUGAAACCAGGACGCCAGUUUUGGCGGAGCCAUCCUUGGGAUACCACCCUUGUAGUACUGGGACUCUAACCAUAGGCCAUGAAUCUGGUCUUGGGACAC